AACGAACGCUGGCGGCAUGCCUAACACAUGCAAGUCGAACGGGAUCUUGACUUCGGUCAGGUGAGAGUGGCGGACGGGUGAGUAACACGUGGGAACCUGCCUUUUGGUUCGGGAUAACCGCGGGAAACUGCGGCUAAUACCGGAUACUCCCGAGAGGGGAAAGAUUUAUCGCCAGAAGAGGGGCCCGCGUCCGAUUAGGUAGUUGGUGGGGUAAUGGCCUACCAAGCCGACGAUCGGUAGCUGGUCUGAGAGGAUGAUCAGCCACACUGGGACUGAGAUACGGCCCAGACUCCUACGGGAGGCAGCAGUGGGGAAUAUUGGACAAUGGGGGGCAACCCUGAUCCAGCAAUGCCGCGUGAGUGAUGAAGGCCUUAGGGUUGUAAAGCUCUUUUGUCCGGGAAGAUAAUGACUGUACCGGAAGAAUAAGCCCCCGGCUAACUUCGUGCCAGCAGCCGCGGUAAU
rnacentral:rRNA from 1 species